rnacentral:rRNA from 1 species
UUWUUKGGAUAACUGUGGUAAUUCUAGAGCUAAUACAUGCACCAAAGGCCCUGACCUUACGGAAAGGGUGCAUUUAUUAGAACAAAACCAAGCGACUUCGGUCGUUUUUUGUUGACUCAGAAUAACUAAGCUGAUCGCAUGGUCUUGCACCGGCGACGUGUCUUUCAAGUAUCUGCCUUAUCAACUUUCGAUGGUAGUGUAUCUGACUACCAUGGUGGUGACGGGUAACGGAGGAUAAGGGUUUGACUCCGGAGAAGGGGCCUGAGAAAUGGCCACUACGUCUAAGGAUGGCAGCAGGCGCGCAAAUUACCCACUCUCAGAACGAGGAGGUAGUGACGAAAAAUAACGAGACCGUUCUCUACGAGGCCGGUCAUCGGAAUGGGUACAAUCUAAACCCUUUAACGAGUAUCUAUGAGAGGGCAAGUCUGGUGCCAGCAGCCGCGGUAAUUCCAGCUCUCAAAAUGCAUAGAAUUAUUGCUGCGGUUAAAAAGCUCGUAGUUGGAUCUGUGCUGAGGACCUGGUCCACCUUCGGGUGCGUACUAGGCUCCACGGCUUUUCUGCCGGUUUUCCCGUCAUGGCUUUCAHCGGCUGUGGCGGGUGGCUGGUGAUUUUACUUUGAACAAAUCAGAGUGCUUCAAACAGGCGUUUAGCUUGAAUGUUUUUGCAUGGAAUAAUAGAAGAGGAUUUCGGUUCUAUUUUAUUGGUUUUAUAGACUGAAAUAAUGGUUAACAUAKACCAMCGGGGDMCAUUCCUACAGUAGCRUARAAGUGAAAUA